rnacentral:snoRNA from 1 species
UGCACAUUCCUUAGAUCCACUUUUGUCUCAAUCGAAGGUGAAUGAGUCAUAGGUGUGCGAAAAUAACUAGCUUGAAGUAGUGAUUGAAUUUGGAUCGCAGUUGGUGGAAAUUAUGAUAUCAGGUCCUC